ensembl:snRNA U6 U6 spliceosomal RNA
UUGCUUUGGCAGCACAUAUACUAAAAUUGGAAUGAUACAGAUAAGAUUAGCAUAAGCUCCUGUGUAAGGAUGACAUGAAAUGAAGCAUUAAAUUUUUUU